ensembl:lncRNA
GUAACGGCGUAAAGCUGCGUACGCCAGCUGGCGUCGUGGAUGUUGUCAUGUCGCUGUUAGCAGCUGAGUCGUCGGAGUAAAUCAGCUUCUGUUGGACCGGCGGAUGAUAAUAAUGUGUUUUUAAAAACAAAUUAAUACUAUUUACCGAGUGGAAACAACUAACCGCUUCCACCACAUGUUCGCCAGCAUUUAACGGCACAGAGAAGGAGUUAGCCCGCAGAUAACCUAGCUCACUGGCUAGCUUGCGAGCUAACAGCUUAGCUGGCUCCUCCAGCUGAUGUUAGGUUGGUAAUGUAGCUGUAGCAUCUUGAAGGAACUCUGUUAUGAAUGACUGAUAUUAUACAUUGUAUGGCUUAACGUGUAAAUGUUUAAGUUUACAACAAUGUGAGUGACGUAUUUAUGAGUCAGUUGGCUAUUUUUGUGAAUUCGGCAGACAAAUAUUCCACCAACUGCAAUUUAUUACGGUAAAAACUUUUAGCGUGUUCUAACGCUUAACUCGUAUUGUUUAUUAUGAAAGACCAUAGAGCCUAAAUCUGCAUGUUUUUAAACGGGAGUCUGGUGCGGCAACAUUCUAUUUUCUGUCAACAGCAGCCAUAUGCCAUUAUUCCUGUAGUCGUAUACAUAUGCAGCCAGAGUGACUGUUACAACGCCAAGUUAUCAGGUUCAGUUCCUGAGCUCCAGGAGCCAAAAUGAUUAAUGAAAAUGAUCCAUGAAGAUGUAUUAUUUAAGUUAAAAUGUUUCCUAAGCCCUUUCCUUAGUCUGGCAUGGGGAUCUCCUCACACUCUACCAGCAGCCUGGUGGGCACGAUGACGUAGUUUGGUGUGUUUUCUGACAGGAGACUGGUGUCCUGGUUUCUCCUCAGUAUGGCGUCUUCCUUUAAGAUCCCGAAGAAGAAACACCCAACGGCUUCUGAAUCCGCCCCCCUGUACACGUCACCGCUGUCCCGCCUGCAGAGCGCCACCCCCGAAUUAAAGGUAGUAUCACUAGUAGUAUUAUCUUUCAGUUUUGUUAAGGUGAUAUUAUUGAUCUGUGUUUUUCUAUGGUAGUAUUAUUGGUGGGUUUUUUGUAAUGGGGUAUUACUGUUCUGUGGGUUCUUUUAAGGUGGUAUUAGUCUUUUUUGGUCUCAACAGAGCUAUGGGAACCAGUACAGCAGAGCUGACAGGAUGCAUGCUGGGAGCUCAGCAGGCUCCUCAGUGAACAGAGAGAGCGCUCCUCUCUUCAGGGAAGUGGUCAAAACGCUGCUCGGACUUACAGCCAAUCAAAGAGAAGCCUCGGCAGCCAAUCGCAAAGGAGGACGGAGUGCCAAGUUGUCUGCUGCUUCUCCCUCAGUCGGGUGGCGCCCUAAAAGGGCUUCAGACCGCCAGCUGCCUCCUGAUGUGACCUCACAGCCUCCGUCUCCACCA